GACGAACGCUGGCGGCGUGCUUAACACAUGCAAGUCGAACGGAAAGGCCUGCUUUCCCUUGUGGAUUGCGGGUACUCGAGUGGCGAACGGGUGAGUAACACGUGAGUGAUCUGCCCCCAACUUGGGUAUAAGCCUGGGAAACUGGGUCUAAUUCCCGAUAGGACUGCAGGGUGGUGCCUGUGGUGGAAAACGAUUUUCUAGUGGUUGGGGAUGAGCUCGCGGCCUAUCAGCUUGUUGGUGGGGUAAUGGCCUACCAAGGCGGCGACGGGUAGCCGGCCUGGGAGGGUGGACGGCCACAUUGGGACUGAGAUACGGCCCAGGCUCCUACGGGAGGCAGCAGUGGGGAAUAUUGCGCAAUGGGCGGAAGCCUGAUGCAGCGACGCCGCGUGGGGGAUGACGGCCUUCGGGUUGUAAACUCCUUUCGACCGCGAGGAAGCCACCUGGUUGGAAGGGUGGUGACGGUAGUGGUAGAAGAAGCACCGGCUAACUACGUG
rnacentral:rRNA from 1 species